AUUUUUUCAAAAUAUGUGCUGUCUUGGAUGCUCAAAUGCAAAACUCAAACACCCCUUCCAAAGAAUUUGCUUGGAUUAUGUAAAUUAAAACUUACAUUCACUGGAAAUGGAGAUAAUUGGAUUACUCGUUCUUUUUUGGUCUGUACAAUGCCGUUCAAGCCAGAGAAGUGCUGCAAAGUCGUGGUGGCGACAGCAUUGCUACAUAAUUUUUGCGAAGAGCGUGGUGUUCCACUCCCCGAUGAUGUGCCUUUGAAUCUCGACGACAACCCUGAUGAUGAUGUAAAUCCUCCACUCCGGACGGCUGAUGAUGCAGAUGGUGAAAGAAUUCGAGCAGCGAUAAUAAGGGAGCAUUUCUGAAAUUAAGAAGUUCGGAAGUAGGCGUCGUUGUGGUUGCCUUUGGUUCCACUGCCGAAACGGUUGCAGCCUCUGCUUUACUCGAUCUAACCGACUGGACAACCUUCAUCUUGGCUCGUUUUGGACUGAAAAAAAUUAUGUAAAGUUAUUCAGAAACCUAGCUGACAUCCAAUAUUUUGACUUUAAUUUUGUACUUGACUUUGUAAAAUGGGUGCGGUAUGGCUUCACUA